CGAUCAAGUCGGAUGUGAAAGCUCCUGGCUUAACUGGGAGAGGUCAUCCGAAACUAGUCGGNUGGAGGGUGGUAGAGGAGAGCGGAAUUCCAGGUGUAGNGGUGAAAUGCGUAGAUAUCUGGAGGAACACCAGUGGCGAAAGCGGCCCUCUGGACCAUUCCUGACGCUGAGAUGCGAAAGCCAGGGGAGAGAACGGGAUUAGAUACCCCGGUAUUCCUGGNCGUAAACGAUGUCAACUAGGCGUAGGAGGUUAUAACCCCUUCUGUNCUGUNGCAAACGCGUUAAGUUGACCCCCUGGGGACUACGGNCGCAANGCUUAAA
rnacentral:rRNA from 1 species